rnacentral:rRNA from 1 species
AGGACGAACGCUGGCGGCGUGCCUAACACAUGCAAGUCGAACGGGACUAGGGGCAACUCUGGUUCAGUGGCGGACGGGUGCGUAACACGUGAGGAACAUGACCUUCGGCGGGGGAUAGCCGGCCCAACGGCCGGGUAAUACCGCGUACGACCACUCUGGGACAUCCCUAGGUGGUGAAAGCAGCAAUGCGCCGAUGGAGUGCCUCGCGGCCUAUCAGCUAGUUGGUGAGGUAACGGCUCACCAAGGCGACGACGGGUAGC